rnacentral:rRNA from 1 species
ACCAAGGCGAUGAUGCAUAGCCGGGCUGAGAGGCUGAACGGCCACAUUGGGACUGAGACACGGCCCAGACUCCUACGGGAGGCAGCAGUAGGGAAUUUUCGGCAAUGGGGGAAACCCUGACCGAGCAACGCCGCGUGAGUGAUGAAGGUCUUCGGAUUGUAAAGCUCUGUUGUAAGGGAAGAAUGAAUUGGAUAGAAUCCGAUUGUGACGGUACCUUACCAGAAAGCUACGGCUAACUACGUGCCAGCAGCCGCGGUAAUACGUAGGUAGCGAGCGUUAUCCGGAAUUAUUGGGCGUAAAGGGUGCGUAGGCGGCUUGUUAAGUUUAAGGUGAAAGAAUGGGGCUCAACCCCAUAAAGCCUUAGAUACUGGCAAGCUAGAGUACUGGAGAGGGUAGUGGAAUUCCAUGUGUAGCGGUAAAAUGCGUAGAUAUAUGGAGGAACACCGGUGGCGAAGGCGGCUACCUAGACAGAGACUGACGCUGAGGCACGAAAGCGUGGGGGAGCAAAUAGGAUUAGAUACCCUAGUAGUCCACGCCGUAAACGAUGAAUGCUAGAUAUCGGGGCAACUCGGUGUCGAAACUAACGCGAUAAGCAUUCCGCCUGUGGAGUAUGCACGCAAGUGUGAAACAUAAAGGAAUUGACGGGGGCCCGCACAAGCGGUGGAGUAUGUGGUUUAAUUCGACGCAACGCGAAGAACCUUACCAGGCCUUGACAUCCCUUGCAAAACUCUAGAGAUAGAGCAGAGGUUAUCAAGGUGACAGGUGGUGCAUGGUUGUCGUCAGCUCGUGUCGUGAGAUGUUGGGUUAAGUCCCGCAACGAGCGCAACCCUUGUCUUCAGUUACCAUCAUUAAGUUGGGGACUCUGGAGAGACUGCCGGUGAUAAACCGGAGGAAGGUGGGGAUGACGUCAAAUCAUCAUGCCCCUUAUGGCCUGGGCUACACACGUACUACAAUGGCUGUUACAACGUGAAGCAACACUGUGAAGUGAAGCGAAUCACUAAAAGGCAGUCUCAGUUCGGAUUGAAGUCUGCAACUCGACUUCAUGAAGUUGGAAUCGCUAGUAAUCGCGGAUCAGCAUGCCGCGGUGAAUACGUUCUCGGGCCUUGUACACACCGCCCGUCAUACCAUGAGAGCUGGCAAUACCCGAAGCCGG